rnacentral:rRNA from 1 species
AACGAACGCUGGCGGCAGGCUUAACACAUGCAAGUCGAACGAACGUAGCAAUACGUUAGUGGCGCACGGGUGAGUAACGCGUGGAUAUCUGCCUUUUGGUUCGGGAUAACCUUGGGAAACUAGGGCUAAUACCGAAUGGUUCCUACGGGAUAAAGAUUUAUCGCCAAAAGAUGAGUCCGCGUCCGAUCAGCUAGUUGGUGUGGUAACGGCGCACCAAGGCGACGAUCGGUAGCUGGUCUGAGAGGACGAUCAGCCACACUGGGACUGAGACACGGCCCAGACUCCUACGGGAGGCAGCAGUGGGGAAUAUUGGACAAUGGGGGCAACCCUGAUCCAGCCAUGCCGCGUGAGUGAUGAAGGCCUUCGGGUUGUAAAGCUCUUUUGGCGGGGACGAUGAUGACGGUACCCGCAGAAUAAGCCCCGGCUAACUUCGUGCCAGCAGCCGCGGUAACAC